UACGAAGGGGGCUAGCGUUGCUCGGAAUCACUGGGCGUAAAGCGCACGUAGGCGGAUCUUUAAGUCAGGGGUGAAAUCCCGGAGCUCAACUCCGGAACUGCCUUUGAUACUGAGGGUCUCGAGUUCGGGAGAGGUGAGUGGAACUGCGAGUGUAGAGGUGAAAUUCGUAGAUAUUCGGAAGAACACCAGUGGCGAAGGCGGCUCACUGGCCCGGUACUGACGCUGAGGUGCGAAAGCGUGGGGGAGCAAACAGG
rnacentral:rRNA from 1 species